rnacentral:rRNA from 1 species
AGCAGCCGCGGUAAUUCCAGCUCCAAUAGCGUAUAUUAAAGUUGUUGCAGUUAAAAAGCUCGUAGUUGAAUUUCGGGAUCAAUACGUCGGUCGUGCUUCGGUACGUACUGGCAUUGUUGGUUUCUCCCUUCUGACGAACCAUGAUGUCAUUUAUUUGGUGUUGUGGGGAAUCAGGACUGUUACUUUGAAAAAAUUAGAGUGUUUAAAGCAGGCUCACGCUUGAAUACAUUAGCAUGGAAUAAUGAAAUAGGACGUUUGAUUCUAUUUUGUUGGUUUCUAGGAUCGACGUAAUGAUUAAUAGGGAUAGUUGGGGGCAUUAGCAUUCAAUUGUCAGAGGUGAAAUUCUUGGAUUUAUUGAAGACUAACUACUGCGAAAGCAUUUGCCAAGGAUGUUUUCAUUAAUCAAGAACGAAAGUUAGGGGAUCGAAGACGAUCAGAUACCGUCGUAGUCUUAACCAUAAACUAUGCCGACUAGGGAUCGGAUGAUGUUAA